UACGGAGGAUCCAAGCGUUAUCCGGAAUCAUUGGGUUUAAAGGGUCCGUAGGCGGUUUAAUAAGUCAGUGGUGAAAGCCCAUCGCUCAACGGUGGAACGGCCAUUGAUACUGUUAAACUUGAAUUAUUAUGAAGUAACUAGAAUAUGUAGUGUAGCGGUGAAAUGCUUAGAGAUUACAUGGAAUACCAAUUGCGAAGGCAGGUUACUACUAAUGGAUUGACGCUGAUGGACGAAAGCGUGGGUAGCGAACAGGAUUAGAAACCCCCGUAGUCC
rnacentral:rRNA from 1 species